GAAGUCAAGGCCCCUUCGGGGGCUAAACUUCCACCCUUUGUUUACCUUACCAUUGUUGCUUUGGCGGGCCGCCUUAGGCCACCGGCUCUCGAGCUGGUGCGUGCCCGCCAGAGACCCCCAAACCCAAACCAUAUUUAGUGUCGUCUGAAAACAAGUUUAAAUUAUUAAAACUUUCAACAACGGAUCUCUUGGCUCU
rnacentral:misc_RNA from 1 species